AAUAAAAAGAGUUUGAUCCUGGCUCCGAAUGAAUGCUUUUGGUUGAUCUUACACAUGCAAGUUAUUAAGUUUUUAAUAGCGUACGGGUGAGUAAUAUAUAAAAAUAAUUUUGCAAAAAAAUAGUUUAUACGAGAUUAAGUAAUAAUUAACUCAAAUUUUUAAAUUAGCUAAUAAUCUCUAGUUGAUCUUUGAGGAUGAUCAACCACAAUGGAAUUGAAAAAUGGUUCAUACUAAAUUUAGGCAGCAGUGAAGAAUAUUGGACAAUGAGAGUAAUCUUGAUCCAGUUAAACCAAUUAUGUGAAGAAGAUUUUUUAUUGUAAAACAUUAGAUAUUGAAAGAAUUGUGCUUUUCAAUAUUUUAGUCCUGGCUAAUUUCGUGCCAGCAGCCGCGGUAAAACGAGAAGGGCAAGUGUUAUUCAAAUUUAUUGGGCGUAAAGAAUUAUUAGGUUGUAAAUUAAUAAAAUUUUUUUAAUUCAAAUAUAAAAAUUUAUUUUAUAAAUAAUUGUUAAACAAAUUUACUUGAGUUUAAAAAAAAGAUUUUAGAAUUUUAAGUGUAACAGUAAAAUGUGUUAAUAUUUAAAAGAAUUCUAAAAGUGAAUGCAAAAAUCUAUUUUAAAACUGACACUUUUUAAUUAAAGUAUAGGGAGCAAAAGGGAUUAGAUACCCCUGUAGUCUAUACCCUGAACUAUGAAUGCUAUUAUUUAGAUUAGAAUAAUUAAAAUUAACGUAAAGCAUUUCGCCUGGGAACUACGAUCGCAAGUUUAAAACUCAAAGGAAUUGACGGGAAUUCAAACAAGCAGUGGAGCAUGUGGUUUAAAUCGAUAAUACGCGCGGAACCUUACCAAUUUUUGUUAUUCAGGUGUUGCAUGGCUGUCGUCAGUCCGUGCUUUGCAGUGUUUGGUUUAUUCCAAUAAACGGACGAAACUUUUAUAUGUUAUAAUAAUAUUUACAUAGUUUAAUAAGGACAUCUUAUUAAAAUGAAAACGAUGACAAGUCUUCAUGACCCUUAUAAAUUGGGCUACUUUCAUGUGCUACAAUAUUCUUUACAAUAUAAAUAUAAAAAAGCCAUUUUGUAAAAUUAAAUGAGAAUAAAGCAAAUUGUUUUCUGAAACUUGAAGGCAUGAAGUUGGAAUUGCUAGUAAUCGUUUAUAAGAAUGUUACGGUGAAUUUGUUCUUGAAUUUUGUACAUACCGCCCGUCACACUAUGGAAAUCAAUUUUACUUAAAAAAAAUAGUUUAAAUAUUUUUUAGAGUAAAAUAAGGACUAGAGUGAAGUCGUAACAAGGUAGCCGUAGGGGAACCUGUGGCUGGAAUAUAAAAAUA
rnacentral:ncRNA from 1 species